UACGUAGGGGGCUAGCGUUGUCCGGAAUCAUUGGGCGUAAAGCGCGUGUAGGCGGCCCGGUAAGUCCGCUGUGAAAGUCGGGGGCUCAACCCUCGAAUGCCGGUGGAUACUGUCGGGACUAGAGUACGGAAGAGGCGAGUGGAAUUCCUGGUGUAGCGGGUGAAAUGCGCAGAUAUCAGGAGGAACACCAAUUGCGAAAGGCAGCUCGCUGGGACGUAACUGACGCUGAGACGCGAAAGCGUGGGGAGCAAACCGG
rnacentral:rRNA from 1 species